GAAACCUGCCCAGCAGAGCGACCAGCGAACGUGUUUUAUCAUGAGCGGGGCGGGGUGCCUGUGCCUAGCGGCCUUGCCCCGGCCCCGUUGCCGGCCGGGAGCCCCCCCUCCGGAGGGGACUCCCGUCCGGCACAAUAACGAACCCCGGCGCGGUCCGCGCUAAGGAACAUGAAUACAAGCGUGCCCCCGCCUGCCGGUCCGCCGGACAGGGGGGCGGCACCAGGUCGUAUAUAACAUUAAACGACUCUCGGCAACGGAUAUCUCGGCUCUCGCAUCGAUGAAGAACGUAGCGAAAUGCGAUACUUGGUGUGAAUUGCAGAAUCCCGUGAACCAUCGAGUCUUUGAACGCAAGUUGCGCCCGAAGCCUUCUGGCCGAGGGCACGCCUGCCUGGGCGUCACGCAUCGCGUCUCCCCCAUCCCCCCCCGCAAGGGCGGGGAGGGGGAGGAGGAUGGCCUCCCAUGCCUCACCGGGCGUGGAUGGCCUAAAUAAGGAGCCCCAGGCCACGAGCUGCCGCGGCGAUAGGUGGUAGACAAGGCCUCCGGCCAAGGAUGCAUCGUGCCGUGCGGCGAGUGGCAGAUGGGGCCUCGCAGGACCCUUACUCGGUGCCCUUAGCGGCGCCGAAACCGUUGCGACCCCAGGUCAGGCGGGGCUACCCGCUGAGUUUAAGCAUAUCAAUAAGCGGAGGAAAAGAAAC
rnacentral:rRNA from 1 species